CGUGUGUGGUAACCACGGUACCGGCGUGUGUGAGAUGUGAGUGGCAGGAGGGUGCCUCUGCUGGUCUUUGCCAACAAGAUGGACUUGAAGGAGUCUCUGUCAAGCGUGGCCUGUUCCAGCCUCCUGGGGCUACCAGACGUGCACCAGUCUCCCUGGCACAUCGUUGCGAGUAACGCUCUGAAGGGAGAGGGACUGCAAGAGGGAGUGGAUUGGUUACAAGAUCAGAUCCGUUCAAUGAAGACUUGAAGGACAGAACAACUACACACACACCCACACACUCACCCACACACUCACCCACACACUCACCCACACACUCACCCACUCACCAACACACUCACCAACACACUCACCAACACACUCACCAACACACUCACCAACACACUCACCAACACACCCACACACUCACCAACACACUCACCAACACACUCACCCGCACACUCACCCGCACACUCACCAACACACUCACCAACACACUCACCAACACACUCACCAACACACUCACCCACACACUCACCAACACACUCACCCGCACACUCACCCGCACACUCACCAACACACUCAUCAACACACUCACCCACACACUCACCCACUCACCAACACACUCACCAACACACUCACCAACACACUCACCCACACACUCACCCACUCACCAACACACUCACCCACACACUCACCGGCACACUCACCCACACACUCACCCACACACUCACCCACACACUCACCCACACACUCACCAAUACACCCACUCACCCACUCACUCACCCACCCACUCACCCACCCAGCCAACUCAGUCACCCACUCACCCAUACACUCACCCACUCACUCACCCACACACUCACUCACCCACUCACUCACCCACUCACCCACCUACUCACCCACCUACUCACCCACUCACGCCCUUACUCUGUUGUAUGUUAAGUUAUACUUUGUCCGAGUAAACAUUCCGCUUGUGUUUUA